rnacentral:rRNA from 1 species
ACGAAGAGUUUGAUCCUGGCUCAGGAUGAACGCUAGCGACAGGCUUAACACAUGCAAGUCGAGGGGCAGCGGGGGUAGCGAUACCCGCCGGCGACCGGCGCACGGGUGAGUAACGCGUAUGCAACUUGCCUAUCAGAGGGGGAUAACCCGGCGAAAGUCGGACUAAUACCGCAUGAAGCAGGGGCCCCGCAUGGGGAUAUUUGCUAAAGAUUCAUCGCUGAUAGAUAGGCAUGCGUUCCAUUAGGCAGUUGGCGGGGUAACGGCCCACCAAACCGACGAUGGAUAGGGGUUCUGAGAGGAAGGUCCCCCACAUUGGUACUGAGACACGGACCAAACUCCUACGGGAGGCAGCAGUGAGGAAUAUUGGUCAAUGGGCGUAAGCCUGAACCAGCCAAGUCGCGUGAGGGAUGAAGGUUCUAUGGAUCGUAAACCUCUUUUAUAAGGGAAUAAAGUGCGGGACGUGUCCCGUUUUGUAUGUACCUUAUGAAUAAGGAUCGGCUAACUCCGUGCCAGCAGCCGCGGUAAUACGGAGGAUCCGAGCGUUAUCCGGAUUUAUUGGGUUUAAAGGGUGCGUAGGCGGCCUUUUAAGUCAGCGGUGAAAGUCUGUGGCUCAACCAUAGAAUUGCCGUUGAAACUGGGGGGCUUGAGUAUGUUUGAGGCAGGCGGAAUGCGUGGUGUAGCGGUGAAAUGCAUAGAUAUCACGCAGAACCCCGAUUGCGAAGGCAGCCUGCCAAGCCAUUACUGACGCUGAUGCACGAAAGCGUGGGGAUCAAACAGGAUUAGAUACCCUGGUAGUCCACGCAGUAAACGAUGAUCACUAGCUGUUUGCGAUACACUGUAAGCGGCACAGCGAAAGCGUUAAGUGAUCCACCUGGGGAGUACGCCGGCAACGGUGAAACUCAAAGGAAUUGACGGGGGCCCGCACAAGCGGAGGAACAUGUGGUUUAAUUCGAUGAUACGCGAGGAACCUUACCCGGGUUUGAACGCAUUCGGACCGAGGUGGAAACACCUUUUCUAGCAAUAGCCGUUUGCGAGGUGCUGCAUGGUUGUCGUCAGCUCGUGCCGUGAGGUGUCGGCUUAAGUGCCAUAACGAGCGCAACCCUUGCCACUAGUUACUAACAGGUAAAGCUGAGGACUCUGGUGGGACUGCCAGCGUAAGCUGCGAGGAAGGCGGGGAUGACGUCAAAUCAGCACGGCCCUUACAUCCGGGGCGACACACGUGUUACAAUGGCGUGGACAAAGGGAGGCCACCUGGCGACAGGGAGCGAAUCCCCAAACCACGUCUCAGUUCGGAUCGGAGUCUGCAACCCGACUCCGUGAAGCUGGAUUCGCUAGUAAUCGCGCAUCAGCCAUGGCGCGGUGAAUACGUUCCCGGGCCUUGUACACACCGCCCGUCAAGCCAUGGGAGCCGGGGGUACCUGAAGUCCGUAACCGAAAGGAUCGGCCUAGGGUAAAACUGGUGACUGGGGCUAAGUCGUAACAAGGUAGCCGUACCGGAAGGUGCGGCUGGAACACCUCCUUU